rnacentral:tRNA from 1 species
GCCGUUGUAGCUCAGCAGGUAGAGCAUAUCAUUCGUAAUGAUGGGGUCGGGGGUUCGAGUCCCUCCAGCGGCACCA